rnacentral:sRNA from 2 species
UAAAAUAAUUGUUAGGUGAGGCUCCUAUAUGGACACAGGCUGCUGCCGCGAAAGGAUCGAGAGACCCUUAGUUUGGUAAAACAGGAAUAAUCGUUGAAGGUUAUUCAUAACGUAGCUGACAAAUACUUAUUUGUCUACGCCCUAUAGUGCUAAAGCUCAACGAUGACUAUGAAU